UAGGCCUUAGUUCAAUUGAGAAUAUUUGACUGUUAAUCAAAAGGUGCUUAUUUAAUAGCAGUUCUAG
rnacentral:tRNA from 2 species